rnacentral:lncRNA from 10 species
CGGAGCCCGAGCCCAGCGCCGCUCACUCCACCCGGCUGGCCGGAAACAUUUACUAGGGACAACUUUUGAGUGUCAGACCCUGUGGACACAAAGAAAAAGCUUGGGUUCCUGCCUUCAAGGGGCUCACAGUUGAGUGGGGAAGACAGACACGUAAAUGAAGAACAAUAACAGACUGUGCUGAGUACUGGAAUGGAAGUGCAGCAGGAACUCAGAAGAGGUCAUCACUGGAGGGGCCACCUCUGGGAAGGCUUCACCAAGGAAGUAUAAUUGGAGCUCUGUCUUGAUGUUCAAAUAAGAGCUGCAGAGAGGGUGCUAUCGAGCAGCACAUAAUCACUUAAUUACAUAUUGCUUUGUAUUCUUCUUCGAUUGUUUAGUAUGCUUGUCUUGACUUCUCCGUGAGGCUAAUCAGCUCAAGAUCAGGGACAGGCCUAGCACUCUCUGUUCUCCCAGAGCCUAACAGUGGCCCUGGACAAACACCAUGUGUUCAGAAAAGGCUUGUUGACUUGAAGCAGAUUAACAAUCCAGGCUUCUCUGGGAAAGCUGCCUGGAGGAACCCCAGUCCCCACUAUAAGAGUCCCCCAGCUCAUCCCUAGCAAGGCACCCACAUCUGAAUUCCCCAUCAGUGGCCACCUCCUCCUGCCAUAGGGGUGAGACUUCACCAAAAUACACUUGUUCAUGCUGCCCCAGAUGUCUUUAUUGAGGCCUCUCAUUUGACCCAAAUACAUUAACAAGUGAUUGCUGAGAUACAGUCCCAAAC